rnacentral:rRNA from 1 species
AACGAACGCUGGCGGCAUGCCUAACACAUGCAAGUCGAACGAGACCUUCGGGCCUAGUGGCGCACGGGUGCGUAACGCGUGGGAACCUGCCCUUAGGUUCGGAAUAACUCCCCGAAAGGGGUGCUAAUACCGGAUAAUGUCUUCGGACCAAAGAUUUAUGGCCUUUGGAUGGGCCCGCGUUGGAUUAGCUAGUUGGUAGGGUAAAAGCCUACCAAGGCGACGAUCCAUGGCUGGUCUGAGAGGAUGAUCAGCCACACUGGGACUGAGGCACGGCCCAGACUCCUACGGAAGGGAGCAGUGGGGAAUAUUGGACGAGGGGCGAAAGCCUGAUACAGCAAUGCCGGGUAAGUGGUGAAGGGCUUAGGGUUGUAAAGCUCUUUUACCCGGGAUGAUAAUGACAGUACCGGGAGAAUAAGCACCGGCUAACUCCGUG